UUGGUUAAAUAUGCCACUUUGACGCUUACCGAGUAAUUUAGUCAAUAUUAAAUAAACUACCAGAGAAAUGAUGAACCUAUUGGCACCAUUAAGAUCUCGAUUAUGUACGUUUUUCGGGCUGAAGACCUUCCCAACAUAAAUAAUCUAUUUUUUGGUUACGAAGCCGAUGACCACUAAGUAUUAUUGAAACGCCUAGCGUACCGGAACGCGGCCGCUGCGAAGUAAGUUUAAAGACGGGAUAGUUGAAAGCUACCAUCCUAUCUCCGGAUGGUACCAAAAAUGCCCAUUGCCCCUUAAUCCCAAGCUAAGGCCUCUCCCUCGGACUCUUUACCGAUGGUGAAGGUUCCUUCCGUCGUCCGCGCGUUUAAUGGGUUAGGACUGUGUCCCUCCAUCACUGUCAUUUAUUGUUACAUCCCGAGAAACUCAGAACGUCAACCUUACUCAUGUUAAAUUUGGGGAAUUGCUCUUUGUUAACCUCCCGUUCAGACCACGGUCGUCGGCGCCAUUAAGGUCGAGGUUAUCGCAUAUAAUUUCAACAACGUCAAUUUUUCGAGCAUCAACCUGAAAUCCGCUCCACCGGACCAGACGGCAGUCCGUCAUGACCCAAGCGGUUCGGAGUGAAAGCCCCUUGAUCACGGAGCACGCGAUCCCUUGGCUCGGAAUGAAACUCUUUUAAUCUCACAAAUUUCGUCCGAAUGCGAACUUAUGAAGUCGUACCUUAUUGUUAUAUCCUGAAACCAAGAUAAAACAACCAAACUCCUGGUUUCAUUACUAAUUAUCCCUGUCAACCCCCGUAAUCAUAAGUCAUCAGUCUCCACUUUAAGAACCUAAAUGACUCCUGAUUGAUUACGCUUUCGUAAACGGUUCCUACAAAAGUAAUUAGUUCUUGCUUUCAAUCCCCUAGCUUCUGCUAAUCUAUGGCAGCAUCAGAAUUGGUAUUUGAUACGGCUGAUCCCUAGCCACCUACAGCGAAAACUGAGGUAGCCGUGGAAUGCUCUUUAGUUUCAAAAACCCAAGACCCCCCUCAUACCAGCGUUCCGACUUUGAAUUUCCUUAACUGCCUUC
rnacentral:rRNA from 1 species